AGAGUUUGAUCAUGGCUCAGGAUGAACGCUGGCGGCGUGCUUAACACAUGCAAGUCGAACGAAGCAUGUAAAACAAUCCUUCGGGUGCGUUUUAUAUGACUGAGUGGCGGACGGGUGAGUAACGCGUGGGGAACCUGCCGUAUGCAGGGGGACAACAGUCAGAAAUGACUGCUAAUACCGCAUAAGCACACAAUGCUGCAUGGCAUGGUGUGAAAAGAUUUAUCGGCAUACGAUGGCCCCGCGUCUGAUUAGCCAGUUGGCAGGGUAACGGCCUACCAAAGCAACGAUCAGUAGCCGGCUUGAGAGAGUGACCGGCCACAUUGGGACUGAGACACGGCCCAGACUCCUACGGGAGGCAGCAGUGGGGAAUAUUGCACAAUGGGGGAAACCCUGAUGCAGCGACGCCGCGUGAGUGAUGAAGUAUUUCGGUAUGUAAAGCUCUAUCAGCAGGGAAGAUAAUGACGGUACCUGACUAAGAAGCUCCGGCUAAAUACGUGCCAGCAGCCGCGGUAAUACGUAUGGAGCAAGCGUUAUCCGGAUUUACUGGGUGUAAAGGGAGCGCAGACGGCAGGGCAAGUCUGAUGUGAAAGUCCGGGGCUCAACCCCGGGACUGCAUUGGAAACUGUCCGGCUAGAGUGC
rnacentral:rRNA from 1 species